AAAUGGUGGCCCGGCGCUGGUUCCUGUCCUAUGACAGGCGAAGAGGGAAUGCGAUAGGGUUCGAAUCGCCAAGAUUUGGAUCCAAAAUGCAGCCGCCCCCGCGACCGUGACCGGAGAGAUACCCGAAACCACUGAUCCCUGCGGGGAUCGGGAAGGCGGGGAUCGAAGGGCAAAGCCCUGCUCCGCAAGCCGGGAGACCUGCCUGCGCGGACGAUUUUGGA
rnacentral:ncRNA from 20 species